rfam:Mycoplasma meleagridis ATCC 25294 Contig17, whole genome shotgun sequence.
UUUUUCGAGAGUUUGAUCCUGGCUCAGGAUGAACGCUGGCUGUGUGCCUAAUACAUGCAUGUCGAGCGAAGUUUUUCGGAACUUAGCGGCGAAUGGGUGAGUAACACGUACUCAACGUACCUUUUAGAUUGGGAUAGCAAGUGGAAACAUUUGAUAAUACCGAAUAUGUAUAUUUUUCGCAUGAAAUUUAUAUGAAAGAAGCCUUUAAGCUUCGCUAAAAGAGCGGGGUGCGUAACAUUAGCUAGUUGGUGAGGUAACGGCCCACCAAGGCAAUGAUGUUUAGCGGGGUUGAGAGACUGAACCGCCACACUGGGACUGAGAUACGGCCCAGACUCCUACGGGAGGCAGCAGUAGGGAAUAUUCCACAAUGGACGAAAGUCUGAUGGAGCGACACAGCGUGCAGGAUGAAGGCCUUAUGGGUUGUAAACUGCUGUGGUAAGGGAAGAAAAAAUAAAUGAGGAAAUGCAUUUAUCCUGACGGUACCUUAUUAGAAAGCGACGGCUAACUAUGUGCCAGCAGCCGCGGUAAUACAUAGGUCGCAAGCGUUAUCCGGAAUUAUUGGGCGUAAAGCGUCUGUAGGUUGUUUGUUAAGUCUGGCGUUAAAACUUGGGGCUCAACCCCAAAGCGCGUUGGAUACUGGCAUACUAGAGUUACGUAGAGGUUAGCGGAAUUCCUUGUGAAGCGGUGAAAUGCGUAGAUAUAAGGAAGAACACCAACAUGGCGAAGGCAGCUAACUGGGCGUAUACUGACACUGAGAGACGAAAGCGUGGGGAGCAAACAGGAUUAGAUACCCUGGUAGUCCACGCCCUAAACGAUGAUCAUUAGCUGAUGGAAAAUUCGUCGGCGCAGCUAACGCAUUAAAUGAUCCGCCUGAGUAGUACGUUCGCAAGAAUAAAACUUAAAGGAAUUGACGGGGAUCCGCACAAGCGGUGGAGCAUGUGGUUUAAUUUGAAGAUACGCGAAGAACCUUACCCACUCUUGACAUCUUCUGCAAAGCUAUAGAGAUAUAGUCGAGGUUAACAGAAUGACAGAUGGUGCAUGGUUGUCGUCAGCUCGUGUCGUGAGAUGUUCGGUUAAGUCCUGCAACGAGCGCAACCCUUGUCCUUAGUUACUAGCAUUAAGUUGAGCACUCUAAGGAGACUGCCCGAGUAAUUGGGAGGAAGGUGGGGACGACGUCAAAUCAUCAUGCCUCUUACGAGUGGGGCAACACACGUGCUACAAUGGUCGGUACAAAGAGAAGCAAACUGGUGACAGGGAGCAAACCUCAAAAAACCGAUCUCAGUUCGGAUUGUAGUCUGCAACUCGACUACAUGAAGUCGGAAUCGCUAGUAAUCGUAGAUCAGCUACGCUACGGUGAAUACGUUCUCGGGUCUUGUACACACCGCCCGUCAAACCAUGGGAGCUGGUAAUGCCAGAAGUCGGUUUAAUUACAAACUGCCUAAGGCAGGACUGGUGACUGGGGUUAAGUCGUAACAAGGUAUCCCUACGAGAACGUGGGGAUGGAUUACCUCCUUU